rnacentral:lncRNA from 1 species
AAUAUAUAUUUCUUUACUGCCCAGAAGGGGCUAAACAUAGAGGGAACAAACAAGGACAGACGAAGGGAUUGAGUCGAUUAUAUCGCCCCCAGUGCGAAACUGAUACUUUAUUUAUCGACCCCGAAAGGAUGAAAGGCAAAGUUGACCCUCGGCGGAAUUUGAACUCAGAACGUAACGACAGACGAAAUACCUAUUUCUUUAUUACCCACAAGGGGCUAAACAUAGAGGGGACAAACAAAGACAGACAUAGGUAUAAGUCGAUUACAUCGACCCCAGUACGUAACUGGUACUUAAUUUAUCGACCCCGAAAGGAUGAAAGGCAAAGUCGACCUCGGCGGAAUUUGAACUCACAACGUAACGACAGACGAAAUACCGCUAAGCAUUUCGCCCGGCGCGCUAACAUGUCUGCCAGCUCGCCCGUCAUCAGCUUUCGGUAAUCAUACCUACCAUCCUAUUGUGCCUUUUUUGAUUAGGUCCUUGUCAUAGACGCAUGAUUAGGUCCUUGUCAUAGACGCAUUUCAGUGCUGAUAAUGAGAUAUGUUCGGGGGUUUCGGCCUUUGAACACGCUAUUGUAAUGUUUUACCUUAUAAAAUGACAGUAAUUAAACAUUAACGGAGGAGUUAUUUCCCUUUGAUUGGCGGCUUUUUUUUCGUGAGUGCAUUCACCACUUCAAUUUACUACGAAAAACAUUAAAUAUCUAUAUAAAGUUGUAACAGAAAAUAGAAACAGCAACCCUCUGACAGGAUGUGAACCAUGUAUCUGUCACUUGGUAGGUGUUCCUGUUAACUACUUUCCUUACAUUUCCCAAACUUUCUUUCUCAUGAUAUGUUUCUGAUAUUUUUGCUCUGUUUACGUCUUCAGUAUAAUUUAUAAUUGUUCCUGCAAGAGUUUUAGUGUGAUAUCUUUUAUGAGAUAUUUGAAAAUAAUAUUUUACCUGGAAUAUUGUUCAGCUUCUUGGAUUUUUCUGUUCUGUCCAGGUGAAAGCAGGGUCUCUGGUGCUCUGGGAAGCUAAUUAUCUUUUGUAAUUUGUUAUCUUUCAACCAUUUCUUUCCAAAUACAAUUUGCUAAACUAUGGUAAUCUCUCUCUCUCUAUCUAUCUAUCUAUCUAUCUAUCUAUCUAUCUCUCUCUCUCUCUCUCUCUCUCUCUCUCUCUCUCUCAAUCUCUCUCAAUCUCUCUCUCUCUCAUCGGUCGUGUUAUUCUUUGCUCCGCAGUGAAAUAUUGUUUUUGUGCUGAAAAUUUUGAAAAUUUGCUGUUUUGGUCGUCGAGACCACUUCUUUUCUGCUGUUGCAGCAGAGUUUUGCUAUUAUUUCCCGCUUGUUUCAAGGGGGAAGCGACGAAAAAUAUGAAUUUGCCACCAAUUUCUUCCGAGUCGGAGGAAAACUGAAAAUUUGUUUGAAGGCAUGAAGGCGAAUAGGUGGGAGGAGGAAGGUAAAAGUAAAGAGGCGUCUCACGCGCGCGUUACAAAAGCAGACGACAAGAUGUCUAGAGAAGCUACUACACAACAGGAAAAGUCAAAAAUAAAUUUUGCAAGUGCAGCAACUCGCCCCUGCGAAAAUAUAGCUAUUAACAAAGAAGAAUUAAAGAAAUACCUAGGUUUACUAAACAAAGAAGGUGAUAAUGUGAAGUUGCUCCCUCCCAGUGAAUUAAUUUACGUUAUGGAGAGAAAGACGGUAAUAUAUAAAACAUAUAAUGUCAAAAAUAAAAAAAUCGACUUUGUACCGAGGGAAGCCAUAGAAAAAUGCUUGAGGCUGAUAUGGCAACAAACAAGUUACAUAACGAGGGGUAGUCGCUUCGACACUGUAGAGGUGUGUUUCCCUAGCGAAGAAAAAGCUAGGGAACAUUCAACAUUGACAUUAAAGUCGGAAGAAGUAGUUCUCCAGCCGACUUACUUCGGAAAGAGAACUUCAAAAAUCACAGUCAUGGAUACACCACCCGAAAUAGAUGUGGCCUUUGUCAUAGCCGCUAUUCUCGUAGGGAAAGAAGAAGAAAUUUCAAUUCUUCAAUCUAAGAGAUACCACCACAUGAACUGGUUUGGACAAGAUUUAGAGCUUGUCAUCCAAGCAAACCCCUCAGACUUAGAAACAUUGUCCAGUUCCCUUACAAUUGGAGAAAAUACCAGCAUGAUGGUGGUAGUUGAGGGGAGAAAGCCCAGAUGUUACAAAUGUGGCAAGAAAGGCCACAUAAGGUCGAGCUGUAAGAAGACAGCCAAAGAAAACGCAGCAGAAGAGGCAAGCACGCCGCCAAAGACAAUGACCACACCGCUACAAAUAGCAGCCACGUCACUCACCCCAAUUGCCGAAGUACAGCCGACAGCGGGAGAAAACAACAACAACAUCCAGGAGUGGGUCACCGUGGAACCUUCAAAAAGAAGACGGAAACGGAAAAACCCACCUUCUUCGGAUACACAGGACUAUGCUCCGAGACAGACAAGCACACCCACACCCACAAAUACAGUCGCAAACACACACGUAGCCAAAAAAACACACACACUGUAAAAAGCACACACAAACACACACACAUACACCUACAAACACCCACGCUUCUACAAGCAUACACACACCAACAAGCACCCCCCCUCCACAAUCGCCUAAUAUAAAAAAGAGAAACACCUUCACGGCAAUAAACAAAAAUUAUAAACUAUUAAGAGACAAAAUUGUUUUAAUGAAAUCGGCGAAAAAAUAUAUCUCAACAGAUGUAAAUAAUACUAUUCUUGAAAAUGUCAAAUUUUAUACUAUAGGUAACUCUGACUAUUUUGAACUAAAAAAAUCUUUUUCGGAGGACGUUGGCCCGUUACAGAUUAACUUUUCAAGCCAUCUAUACAGGCAAUUCGCAAAAAAAAAUGAUCUCGCAAACAAAAAAGAGGAGGGUGAAACUACACCCUCUCUCCCAUUAAAACAGUAAGUUUUAAACAUUCGACUGAUUUUUCACAUUCUCGUUUAAACCCGGUUGUUUAAAUAUUCGCGACCUGGGGUCAUAUUGGAAGCAAGGCUACCUCCUUAACGACCUUGGGUCGCAUCGUUUGGAUGUAGUUGUAAUUACCGAAUCCAGACUGAGUGGGCUGCAGGCUUUUUCACCCUUGCUAAACAGCUACGAGAAAUACGUUUCUCCCUGUCAACCUGGAGGGGGCGGAGGAGUGGCAGUGCUGGUCAGAAAAAACCUGGAUUUAGAGAUUAGAACUGUCUUUAUAGAUCCGGAAGGCAGGUUAGUCGUUUUGGAUGUGACACAUAGCAGUGGUAAAGUGUUCAGGCUGGUCGCUGUCUAUGCUCCCUGCGAAGGAAAUGCCCAACAGAAAUAUUAUUUCAAAAGCCUAGAGAAUUUUCUUGGCACGUCGAACACGUAGUACUGCUAGGUGACUUCAACAUAAUUUGCGAUGCAUGCAUAGAUUAUGUUGGCUCGAGAAAGAAUAGGAGGGGAUUACCUCACCUCAACGAUCUGCUAAGUCGUUUCGAGUUGGCAGAUCGAUUCAGACUGGACCACCCAGACACUCCAGCGUGGACCUGGGCAAGAAACGACGGGUCGUCCAGAUCUUACAUAGAUAGAAUCAUAACUAGAAAGAAAAAUAAGAAAAUACUUAGCUGUCCACAACUGAGGUGGAGGCCUCAACAAAAUAGAGCCAACAACACACUUCUGAAGACGUAACACUGUUUUAUUCAAAGUAGCUUGUAUUUAUGUAAAUGUAUACUGAGCCAGUGUGCAUAAAUGCAUGUAUAGAUUUGUGUUUGUGAGCGUGUGAAUAUAUAUAUACAUUUUCUGAUUUAUGUGUGUGUAUAUAUAUGUUUCUAUAUAUAUAUAUAUAUAUAUUAUUAGUGAAUUGAAGAAAUGGAGUUGAACGAAGAUUGAACAGAAAUCGUUUUAUUGCAUUCUACACGUGUUUCGAAAGGCACAAUUUACCAAAUUCCGAUUGAAUAAGGAGACCAUAUUGUGUCUUUCUCUUCAGGAAGAAAUAGGAAAUCCGUUGGAAAAAAACAAAAACAGAACAGAGGCGGAGCAAGACAAAUCGAACGAGGCUCCUAAGAGCCCAUGGCCAAACUCUUGAUUAAACUUUUGAUUAAUCUGCAACAAGAUUAUUCAUCUUUCUAUUUCACAAUAUAUACAUAUAUAUAUAUAUAGAUAGAUAGAUAGAUUAUUACACACAUGCACACACACAAACACACAGAUAUAUAUUCAUGUAUGUAAUGAAAUGUGUGUGUAUACAUAGGGAGAGUUUGACAGUUUGUGUAAAGGAAAAAUAAAACACAAUGUCCCAUACAAAUAUAAAUGUAUUUUAAAAAAUAAACUUGAUAUCAACUAGAUAACAGUUUACUCAAAAUAGCUGCCCUCAGCUUCCACUAUGGCCUCAAGACAGCUCUAAAACCUGACACAUGUGUUCCUCACUGUGUCUCUGGGAAGAUCUUCAAACUCCUCCUUGAUUUUGGCCACCAGAGCAGUUGGUGUCUUUCUUAACUAUACCUCACACAUUAUAAUCCAUAAGAUUAUAAUUGAAGGAAUUAGGAAGCAAGAAAUUAGGGCUGGUGAAAUUGUACAAAUUCUUUGACCCCUCUCGACUCUGGAGCUGAAUCACGUUGUCACACACAUGACCUUCCAGCAGCAACCUUCUCCAGCCAGGGUUUGACCAAAGUCUCCUACAACUUCACAUAGCUGUCUUCAUUGAGCGUAAGGCCUACACAUCAAUUGGUGGAUGAACUCUGGUGCAUGGACACAGUCAGAGUGCCUGCUGUGUCCCUUCCCACAGCUUUGCAGUCUCUGUUGCACCUGUCCAUGUCAUUCCUUAUAACCUUUACAAUGCCAACAGAGCAUUGAGCAGUAGUAAUGACGUUAGCAUUUUGACACCCAGCAUGAAUCAUCAAGAUACAAGCAACUCCAUGUCAGGCAGCUCUUCCUCAGCUACAAAUUUAAUAUUAUUUAUACUUUCCAAUGCCAUUGACUUUUCACCAAUACGUUAUGCUGUUCCUGAAAAAAGAAGACAUAAAAAUUAUUAAAUUUAGCCUGAACACCCUAUAUGUAUGUGUAUAUGUACGUAUGUGUGUAUGUGUGUAGUGUGUUUUUCUGUGCAUUUACAAUGUAUAUUUGUGUAUAUGUGCAUGAAUGUAGGCGUAUGUUUUGUAAUGUAUCAAUGAAUACAUAUUUACUAAUGUAAUCAUAUUUCUAUCAUAAUUAUGUUAUUGUUAUAGUAUUUAUUGUUGUGAUGCAUGUAUAGUCAUUGAUUGAUUCACUCAUUGAGCAGAUAUUGCAACAGUGGUAAUACAAUUAUUAUAUUGUUACAGUGGAAAUAUAGAAUAAACAUUAAUACAUCUACAUGCAUACGCACAUAGUCACAAUAGUAGAGAUUAGUAUUUAGCUUUGUUUCAGUUCUAAAAAUUAUUCUUGAUUUUCAAUUAUUUGGCAGCUACCAGAUGUGACUCUUGCAGCUUCUAGAUGUGACUCUUGCAGCUUCUAGAUGUGACUCUUGCAGCUACUAGAUGUGACUCUUGCAGUAACCAGAUGUAACUCUAGCAGCAACCAGAUGUAAGUCUAACAUCGACCAGAUGUAAGUCUAGCAUUGACCAGAUGUAAGUCUAGUAUCAACUAGCUGUGACUCUAGCAUCAACCAGCUGUGACUCUAGCAUCAACCAGCUGUGACUCUAGCAUUGACCAGCUGUGGCUCUAGCAUCUACCAGCUGUAACUCUAGCAUCGACCAGCUGUAACUCUAGCAUCGACCAGCUGUAACUCUAGCGUCAACCAGCUGUGACUCUAGCAGCAACCAGAUGUGACUCUAGCAGCAACCAGAUGUGACUCUAGCAGAAGCCAGAUGUGACUCUAGCAGAAACCAGAUGUGACUCUAGCAGCUGCCAGGUAGCAACAAGCUAAUGCUAGAAACCUCUAUAUUGUCACUUAACAUGCUAGGUUGCACUGUAUAAUCUAACAAAGGAGAUGUUGCUGAAUGAUGUAGUGCUGGAUAUCUUAAAGUGGGGUGGUCAUGGUUGGAAUAUCCAUGAUUUCAGGCCUGCUGGAUGGAGGAUGACUUGGAGUUAAAUAAUAUUAACAACCAGAUGGCAACAAAGAAACAUGAGCAACUCAUAAUUGGUGCAAUAAAUGUGAUGUUUCCAGGUUCUCAAUGCUGUUAGUUUCUUCCCCUGGCAUGUGAUAGAAUCUGUUUUCUGUACAACCUAAUAUAUGUUUACUCUUUUACUAGUUUCAGUCAUUUGACUGCGGCCAUGCUGGAGCACCGCCUUUAGUCAAGCAAAUCGCCCCCAGGACUUAUUCUUUGUAAGCCCAGUACUUAUUCUAUUGGUCACUUUUACCGAACCGCUAAGUUACGGAGACGUAAAUACACCAGCAUCGAUUGUCAAGCGAUGUUAGGGGGGACAAACACAGAUACAAACAUACACGCACACAUGCACAUAUAUAUAUACAUAUAUAUGACGGGCUUCUUUCAGUUUCUGUCUACCAAAUCCACUCGCAAGGCUUUGGUUGGCCCGAGGCUAUAGUGGAAGACACUUGCCCAAAGUGCCACGCAGUGGGACUGAACCCGGAACCAUGUGGUUGGUAAGCAAGCUACUUACCACACAGCCACUCCUACGCCUAUGUUUGUGUUUUUAUUUAAUUUUAUUUUAUUGUCAGGGAUGAGAAUGUGAGCUAUUGUGUUUAGAUGAUGUUAUAGUAGAAUUGUGAAGUGUUGUAUAUGUGUUUGGGUAUUUAGGGAUGAUUUUUCAUGUAAUGAUAGGGACUAUAGAGGUUGAAAUUACAUGUCCAGUGGCAUGGUCUUUCACUUUUGGUAUUUUUGUUUUUGUGUAAGUGGUCCGUAUACAGUAUGUGAUGAUAUAUAGUACAUAGUUUUGUGUUCUUUGUAGUUUAUUGCAGAGUGGUUAAUGGUUCAAUCAGAGCUGACAUAAUACUCAUUGCAUCUAGAGUUUAUUCUCUAUUUCUUUACUACCCACAAGAGGCUAAACAUAGAGGACAAACAAGGAUAGACAAACGGAUUAAGUCGAUUACAUCGAGCCCAGUGCGUAACUGGUACUUAAUUUAUCGACCCCAAAAGGAUGAAAGGCAAAGUCAACCUCGGCGGAAUUUGAACUCAGAACAUAACAGCAGACGAAAUACAGCUAUGCAUUUCACCCAGCGUGCUAACGCUUCUGCCAGCUCGCCACCAAUCAAGUUUAUUCUCUAGGGUUUCUUUUCCUCUGCCUAAUGAGGUACAUAUGAAGGCAUGUGCUUUUGUCAUUUUUACACUUUUCCAUGUGUUGUGAAAGUUUGUUUUUGUUUAACCCAAGAUCAGUUCUUAUUAAGCCAUGAUCAAAGACAUUUCAGCCAUAACUGUCUUAUCUUAUUUUUAGACAAUCUAUCAAAACUCCACUAUUCAAUGUAUCUUCAGUUUUUUAAGAGACAAAGAUAUGGUUUUUAGAGCAAUUCAUUUGCUAUUUCUAUCUGGAUUAGUGAUUACAUAAAGACUUCUUCACCUUAUCUGUGUGUGUUUAUGUUGUUGAAUGUGAUUGUUGGUUGAUGUUUUCUGAUUGUGGAUUUGGUAGGUACAGCUUUUGUUCAGAUGUUUAGGAAUCAGGUUUCUUUCUAGGUGUUGUAAGAUUGAGAGAAUCUGAGUAGGAUGUCCUAUGUUGAUGAUCUUGGAUGUAUGUUUUGAGGCAUAUGUUAAAAGAAGUGGGUGAGAAUAUAGAUCCUUGUGUUACUUUUAAGAAACUUAAAUUUUGGUUGUAUUUAUUGACUACUAGGACUGGUGGUAUGCUGGUAGUUUACUACCCAGCAGUUUGACUUGUUUUGUAAGAUAUUGAGUAUUUUGUAUUUAAAUGGAUAGCAAGCACGGGAGUUGAGUAGAGAGCUUUUUCAAUGUUGAAGUUGCCAUAUAUUAUCUGUGAGUGAUGAAAUAGUUGAAUGCAGUGGUCUUAAUGUAUGUUGUGAUAUAAAGAAUAAUGUGUGGUUUAGUGAUAUUAAUGAUGAGGCUUUCUAUAAUAUUUGAGUCUAUAUAGACAUGAAAUAGCUCUAUAUGAUGUUACUUCACUUGGGUUGUGUAUGAGAUUUAGAAUUGUGAUUUUGCAAAGUUUUCAGAUUCAAAGAAUUGGGCAAUAUUACAAGAGUUUGUUAUUUAGUCCCAGAUCGGCCCUGAUUAAGCAGCCCUAUAAUUAAAGAUUCCCCAUCCCAACUUUUUGUACAUCUGUGACAACACUUGGUGUUAUUUUAUUUUCAUGGUGUAGUGGUGUCAUUUGAGGGAGAUCAUCAUCAUUUAACGUCCACUUUCAAUACUGGCAUAAGUAGGACAGUUUGACAGGGAAGCAGUGAAUUGCAAGGCUGCAUCAAGCUCUAAUGUCAUCUUUGGCAGGGUUUCUGUAAUUGGAUGCCCUUUCCAAUACCAAUCAUGUUAAAGAAUGUAUUGAGUGCUCUUUUUGUGCCACUACCACUUUACAGAGCAUACUGGGUGCAUUUUUCAUACCACUGACAUUCGUGAGGUUUGCCAUAUAACUUGCAAGACAGAAAAGAACGAAGAAGGGGAAAGAAAGGGAUGAAAAUGCUCCCACUACUAAGAAAAAGUAUUUAGGAGGGGAAGGUAGAGAUGAGUGGCUAUAUGCCAUGUAUCAAAAGGCUAAAUUAUAACAAAGGGACAAGUACAGGUGUUUUGAGGCUCUCUUUUUGGUGAGUAAGUACAAUGGUCCCUUCAGCUUUUAAGUGUUUUGUGUUUGUUUUGGAUUUCACCAGCUCCUCACAGUUUUGACUUUUAGGAUUUUUCUGUUGCUUUUCUGGUAUUUGUUUGAUGAAAAAGAUUAACACUCAUGAUCUAGAUGGAAAGUGCAUGUUUUUUUUUAUAUUUUGUGUGGUUUUUGGUGAUUAAAUGUUUCAUCAGUGUAUUUACUUAUUGCUGUUAGAGUGUGGAUCUAUCAUCUAAGAUUGCAGUUGUAACAUAUGUUGUGACAACUGAUUUGUUCUUGACAUUGCUAAUUCCUCUGUUGAAUUUCCCUGUUUCUUUUAGAGUUUGUUAGAUUUGCCAAUUUUCUUGUUUUCUUAUGUUUUGCAUCUUGUUUAGAUGUUUUCUGACAUAUGCCAUGUUGACAUUACUGCAUUUGAUGUUGACUCUGGCCAUUUAGGUUGUAUAACUAGAGGUGUAUUUUAUUUAUCACUUUUUUUCCAUUUGUAUUAUUUGUUGGAUUUUUCAGUUGGCUCAAAUUAUUUUGAACCAGAUUGUGUUGAGUAUAUUGAGGACUCCCUCGGUGAUGGAUGGAUGGUGUUAGUAGUUGCUGUCAUUUGUUUUGGUAUUUAGUUAACAUGUUGGUUUUAUUUUGAAUGUCUGCAGUUCAAGUGUCUUAUUUGUUAUUUCUAGCAGCUGUAUAGUGGCUCCUUCAUUGGUACAUCACAGAUCCAAUUUUUCACAGCAGAGUCAUCUGCAAAUUUGAAGUUAUUGGUAGUGGAUAUGGAGAUAGUCACAGCUAAAGAAUGUGUAUAAUAAGGUUUUAGCUCUGGUAUUUUGAAGAAAAUGUGUAGUUGCCUAAUAUUAUAGAUUCAUAACUUUUCUUUUUUUGAUUUCUUGGUCAGAAAAUUCAAAAUCCAUUUGUACAUUACUGUUAUCAAAUCAUGAUGCUUUUAUUUUAACUUUGUUGUAAAGAAGCCUACACACAGCAUUUUGUUGUGUUUAUUCCUCACUUGCAGGUGUGGUCAGGACACUGUAAAUGGCAAUAGAAACUGCUAGACCAAAUAUGAAACAAGCUGUACAACAGUAACACCUAAUUUGGUACCUUUAUUCUAGUCAUCAAUAUUCUCUAAAAAUAUCCCCUACAUCUGCAAACUAUAUUUCUAAUGUUUAAUAUCCUGGCAGCUUAUUAUGUAUUUUCCCCCAAAAGAUCUUUUCUGUAUGUUGGCUGUUUAGCCCCAAGUCAGACCUGACUAAACAGACCUAUAAAUGUUAUAUCAUGUGAUCACACAUGUUCACACAUUUUCUAUUAUCUAAAAUAGUUUCCAAAUCAAUAAUAUUUAUUGAUAUCAUUUUCUUGUGUUAGGAUGGGCAACCAACUAUGAAAUCUAUCAAAUUACACAUGCUUGGAUACAUAAAUUUCUUUUUCCCCUACACAUUUUAUCUACAUGCAUUUUAAUAUCUGCUGGUAGCCGGUCUUUUUCUUAUCAUUUUGAGUAAAGGCAUUUUUAUUUAUUAUGAGUCAUUUAAAAUCUAGUUUACAUCCAACCAGUUUUCUUUCCAUUCUAACUGUUUUAAAAAACAAAAGACAAAUAUUAAAAAUAUAAACAAGUAUUUAUGUAAAAUGUUGAGUUUGAGGGCACCCAAAAUAUGGAAACAGUUAAAUUUUAAAAAUUGGAAAAAUAUUCAAUGACAAGAAGAAUCUUUGGAAUUAAUUACAUUCUCUUUGUCGUAUAAAACUUUCCUGUUGGGAUGAUCUAGAAUUAUAGUUAUUUUCAUCAUUUUGUAUCAAUUCUGUCUGUCUCUCUUUUCUGUUUUUUUUUUUUUUUUUUUAGCAAUUAUCUUCAUAGGGAAAAAAUAACUAUUUUCUCCUGAAAAUAUAGACUAAUUAUUUCAUAAUUCUCUUUUAAAUUAACUAAUGAUUUAUGUAUUUUGAGAUAAAUUAUCUCAAAAAAAAAAGGAAAUAUAUUUCAUAGGAGAUAAAAAAGUUAUUUCCAGGUAAUCAUUUUUCUUUUUUCUUUUUAAUAUAUUUAUUUUCCAAUUUACAAGAUAGCAUUAGUUGAAUUCUUGUACAAGUUAAUGAGUAUGUACUUUAUUGACUCACAGGAGUGGUAUUAUAACUGAAUUAACAUGAUUUAUUAGCUUGUAUUGACAUCAAUUCCUGUAAUAAUAUUGGUUAUCAUUUGAAACUUUGUGCCUUCAGUAGAAUACCAAGUAAUCUAAGAUAAAAGAGCUGCCAAUUGGUACCUUAACUCUUUCGUUACCAUAUUUAUUUUGAGAUGCUCUGUGUUUCUUUCAAUUACUUUGUAUAUAGCUAAGAAUUUAGUAAAAUAACUUAGUUAUCAUUAAGCUAGUGUUAGCAACAUAAAUUGUGACUAAGGUUUGGUGGAAGAUUUUAAUUCAAUACUUAUGAAAACAAGACAUUUGUACUACAGAGCCAGAGGCGGUUUUGGCCGGGUUGGUAUCAAAAGGGUUAAAGCGAUUUCAUAAGAGCAAAGAGGUAGCAAACUGAAAAAUGUUUUAAAAAACAAGAGUAGUACAGUCUACAAUGUUGGCUGAUAAGAAGUCAAUGAGAAAAGAACUCUGAUAAUAAAAACUCAAAUUUUUGUGAAUGUUGUUAUGAAUCAUAGUGGUCACAGAAAUGUAUGUGUAUGUUUAAGACCAGUUACUAUUUGUACAAUGGAUUUGAAAGAUGGUGAUAAAUGAGAGAUUCAUUAGCACAUUGGAUAGAAUGCAUUUGCUCUGCAUCUCUUCACUCUGAGUUCAGAUCCUACCAAAGUCAAUUUUACUUUUCAUCUUUCUGGAGAUGAUAAAGUACCAUUGCAGAGUAGUGAAUUGGCAGAUUGAUAGGGUAUUUGUUUCUGACAAGAUAUAUUGCAAUGGUUAUCUGUGAUUUUCUUGGUUUUGGGAUCAAAUUCUGCCUUCUCUUACUGGCCACCUCAUGGAGGGAAAUAAAUCCUUCAAGCUUGGCUCGUGGUGAUAGAUGUCCUCUGUCAGAUGCAGGGAUAAAUUAGUUAGAGUAACAUAUUAAGUGCAUUCAUGAAACAAGAAUAUAAUGCAAAAUUUGGAAUAUAUGGUACCAUAGGUACAGGCAUGAUUGUUGUGGUAAGAAUUUUGCUUCUCAACACAUGGUUCUGGGUUCAGUCACACUGCAUGGCACCUUGGACAAGUGUCUUCUACUAUAGCCUCAGGCCAACCAAAGCCUUGUGAAUGGAUUUAGUAGACAGAAACUGAAAGAAGCCUAUGUGUGUGGGUGGGUGUUUGUUCCUCACCAUUGCUUGACAACCUGCAUUGGUGUGUUUAUGUCCCCGUAACUUAACAUUUCAGCAAAAGAAACUAUAGAAUAAGUACCAGGUUUAAAAAAAGUACUAGUGUUGAUUCAUUUGACUACAAUUCUUCAAGGUAGUGCCCCAGCAUGGCCGCAGUUUAAUGACAGCAAAAAGUAAAAGAUAAAAAGAUAGAAAAAUAUUUUCCAUGGAUUUUCAAGAGUUAUGAUACAUAUAUUUGGUUAGUUGUGUGAGAGAAUAAUAAAAUUAUUUUAGACUAAUUUUAGACUAACUGAGUGAUAGAAUACUGAAGUAUAUUAGACAGAACACCAAAUUUAUGUUAGACUAAUUUGGUUAGUUAAGUACCAGAACAGUAUAGUUAAUGAGGCUAGUUGAAUGAUGGAACACUUAGAUAAAUUGGGUUAGCUGAAUGACAGAAAACUGAAGUUGUUUGAUAAAUUAGGAUAGUUGAGUCACAGAAGAAUAAAGUUGUUAGCUAAUUAUGUUACCUGAUGGACAGAACACUAAAAUUAGGAUACAUAAUUAGAUUUGCUGAGUUAAAUUAAUUACAUUAACUGAGUUGUAGAACUCUUAAGUUGUUUGAUUAAUUAGCUCAGUUGUUAGCUGAGUGACAGAACAGUAUAGUUUUGUUAGACUAAUUAGUAAGCUGUUGCAGAACACUAAAGUUACAUUCCAUUAAUUAAUUUAGUUGUGGGACAGGAUGCUACCUGUUUAAUUGGAUGAACUGAGUAGCAGAACACUAUCAUUAAUUAGUUUAGUUGAGAGACAGAACACUAAACUUAUGUUUGAUUUAUUAGAUUAGCUGAGCAGCAAGAGACCAGAGCUAUAUUUUACUAAUUAGAUCAGCUGAGCGACAAAACAUUAAAAUUAGGUUAGAUUAAUUAUCCAAGCUGAGACAACACUAUAGUUUAGGCUUAUCAUGUCAACUUUGACAGAAUGCUAAAUAUUUGUUAUAUUAAAUUAGUUGGCAUACAGAAUACUAAUGUUAUAUUUGAUUGCUAUAACUUAAGUAAAUCAGGUGACAGAACUGAUGUAGAUUGAUAUAAUUAAAGCAGAUGAGCAGACAAAAUUCUAAACUUCACUGUAUUUUCAUAAAUGUCACCUAUUACGCCAGCCCCAUGCAUCAUUUUUUUUUUUUGUAAUAUGUAUUUAAUGGAAGAAGAACAACACCACCAAUGAACCUAUAAUACUUUGCAGACUAGAAACCUGGUCCAAGUGCUUACAACAGAGUGGAUAGUGUGAUGAAUGAUACCAACUAUCAGCUAGAGCUGUCAUUGACAAUUAAGUCUGUCUCCCAAGACUAACCACAGUUGAUCCCACAGUUUUUGUCUAUCAAACUUCUUUCACAAGGCUCCAAUGAACCUGAGGCUGCACCAGUAGACAUCUACCCAAAAUGACAUACAGUGGUAUCUAAACUAGAACUGUCAUCGUCCUCAUUGUUUAAUGUCUGUUUUCCAUGCUGGCAUGGGUUGGCUGGUUUGACCAGAGCUGGCAAGCUGCACCAGGCUCCAGUUUGAUUUGGCAUAGUUUCUACAGCUGGAUGCUCUUCCUAACGCCAACCACAUUACAGAGUGUGCUGAGUACUCUUGCAGGCCAAUCCCAUUCACCUUAACACUUCUGCUAUGGAGUACAGGUCUUCUUGAGUACAGCAAGGCUCCAGGUAUCUCAGUCCAUUGUCAUCUCAUCUGAAAUGUUUAGCAUCCUGAGGACCAUGUAAUUGUGAAUCAUUUUUGUAACCACACUACCAAACUUGUUACAAAGACAGCUUAUGUUUAAUCCACUGAUAACUUUACCAACAGUAAGCCUCACCUGUACCACCUCAACUUCCAGCAUCACCACCAUCACAUGAUUAAGUUCUCUCUAAAUAGUAAAAAUUACUCUUAAGUGUGAUGUUUCCAUUUCUUCUCCAAGUUUAUCAGAGAUAAAGAUUAGACUAGUAGUAGUGUUGGUGGUGGUGGUGGUGGUGGUGGUGGUGGUUGUAGUAGUUUUGGGAGUAAUAAUGGUAGUAGGAGUGGCAGUGAUGGUACUUUCUCCAAGUAAACUUACCUAGCCAUCACUCCUGGCUGGUUACCCAAUGAUGCUGUCAAAGAGACAGAAAACUUAUCAAUCUGGGACACAAUUCAGAAUCCAUGAAAUGAUGAUGUAUGUACAUAUAUAUGCACAUACAUCAUCAUCAUAACAUCCGCUUUUCUAUGCUUGCUUGGAUCAGACGAAGCUUAUUGAGUCAGAUUUUCUACUGUCUGUCAUCAAUACAUACCCGUUUUCAAGCAAGGUAAUAUUUCCUCAUAGCCAGACAUGUUUUCACAGAAUAAAUAAAUGACAGUGAUACUCAUUUACAACUAUGAAGCAAUGUUAAGAGAUGGAAACAGAAACAUACAUAUGCUCACACACACACAUACAUACAUACAUGCAAGAAAGCAUACAUAUAUUUGUCCAACCCAUACCAGCAUGGAAAACAGUUGUUAGAUAAUGAUGAUAUAUAUGCAUGCAUGCAUGUAUAUAGGUGAAGUCAUAAGAAGUUUACUUCUCAGCUGCAUGUUUUCGGGCCCAAGGUGCCACUGUGUGGCACCUAUGGCAAGUGUCAUUUAUGAUGACUCCUGGGUCAGCUAAAGCCUUGUGAGUGGAAUUGGUGGGAGGAAACUUAUUUGCAAGCAGAGAGGUUGGCAGUUUCUUUUCUUAGCUCAUUUGUACUCUGAUGUUAAUGCUGGACUGACCAUUAAAUCAUCCUCACUUCAUUUCUUUCUAGUUUUCAUCAGUCUUCUUUCAUUCAAGGACCAUGUCUCGCUACCAUGCAAUAUUGAAGUUCUUCCAUAAUCAUCAUACAAUUUGACUUUCAUCCUGAGAGUAAAUACUUUGUUACCGGCAACAGUAGCUCAUUCUUAAUUUAGCCACUAUACUUUCACAGCAACCACCUCCUCUCCCAAUUAUGUUUCCUAGACAACAGAAGCUAACAUUUAGUUCUUGUGGGCCUGUGCCAUCAGGGCAUUUAAGAGAAUCUAUUUCUGGUGUACUCAUGAUAUAUAUUGCUCCAGUACAUCUGUGACAUAUGAAGCUUAUUUAUUCAUUUUUGUUUUCAGGCAUAGUGUAUCUCAGAUUACAUUACUGAAUGUGUCAUUCCUUUUGUUUUUAAAGAUAGUAAAAUGUUAGUUGAAAGAUAUCUCACUAUUCAUCAUCAUCAACAUCGUCGUUUAACGUCCGCUUUCCAUGCUAGCAUGGGUUGGACCGUUUGACUGAGGGCUGGCGAACCAGAUGGCUGCACCAGGCUCCAGUCUUGAUCUGGCAGAGUUUCUACAGCUGGAUGCCCUUCCUAACACCAACCACUCUGAGAGUGCAUUAUUUAUAGCUAUUCCUAAUUGAGUGAUUGACACCAUGGAGAUUUCUUUGGAGUACUUGUUAUUGAUGAAACACAUUGGUAGAAAAGUAGAGUUUUAAUGAUAGAGUGAUGAUAUUUGGAAGUAUCAGAGCAAAUCUACAGUAGGUGUGGCUAUGUGGUAAGAAGUUUGCUUCCCAAUCAUAUGGUUCAGCAUUUAGUCCCACUCUGUGACACCUUGGGCAAGUGUCUUCAACUAUAACUCUGGGCUGACCAAAGCUUUGUAAGUGGAUUUGGUAGACAGAAACUGAAAGAAACUCAUGUAUAUAUAUAUAUAUAUAUAUAUAUAUAUAUAUAUAUUUGUGUGUGUUUGUAUCUAUAUUUGUCUCCCAACACCUCUUAAAAACUGGUAUUGGUGUGUCUAUAUCCCCAUAACUUAGUGGUUUGAUAAAAGAGCUCAAUAGAAUAAGUACCAGGUUUUAAAAGAAAAUGUUAAGUCCUGGGUGGAUUUGUUUAACUAAAAACACUUCAAGGCAGUACCCCAGCAUGGCUACAGUCAAGUGACUGAAAUAAGUAAAAAAAAAUAUAGUGUUCAGUUUGGUUUUGUAUUGCACAAAGGAAUCAUUUCUGUCAAAGACUGAACUAUUGAUUUGUCUUAAAAUGUUUACUAAUUUACCAAUUAAUGGUUUGGUAUGGAGGAAUGGGCCAGAGCCACACUGUACACAGACUUUCCAAGACAACUGACAUCAAUAUAGUUAAUGUUUCUCUUUAACAUCUUUAAGAUAAUGGCUGCCAGAAGAACAUUGGCAAAGAGAGAAUUUCUGGUGAGUAAUGUUAUGAAUAAGAAGGACAGUCUGGGUAUUUUUGAUUAGUGUAGAGCCUUGGGGUGGAGGGGGGACACAGUAUGAGUGGUAAAGAAUAGGGAAAACAAGUGAAUCUGUUGUAAGUAAAGUCUGAAUGCAUAAAACAACUCCCUGUUUGAAGAAUAUAAGACUAUGUCUACAUGAUACUUUCUAAGACUUGUCUAUUAAAGAUGCUCUGAGAAGAGUGGAAUUUUUCUAAGAAACUAACUUCAAUUCACAUUGUGUAGCUCAUCUCAGGGUUGCUAAAAAUGUUUGUAACUUGAAAAAUAUGGCAUUAACUACUAUUAGAAAUCUCCAAAGCUCUUUAUCAUUUUCCUAAAUGGAAGUAGUUAGAAAUUCUGUUAUGCAGACAAUGGAAACAGGAACUGAACAAUAAAAUGUAGCAAAAUUUCAUAUAUGCCAAAAAUAUGUCAACACUAUAGAUUGACUUAUGUAAAUGAGGGCACCUUUUUGUGGUCACUAGACCUGCUAAAAAUAGUAGACAUAUUCAUCAAACCUCACCUAUUGACUUAUGACAUGAAGCAUAUAUUGGAUUAUGUGGUCCCUGGUAUAUAAGAAGUUUGAAUGGUCAUGGUUGGAGCAUUUUUGAUAGUAUACUCAAUCAUGACUGACCUGGGACUUUACUGCUACUGAUACUAAGUAUAAUUGGAAGAAGGGGUUGGAUGGAAGCUAAAAGAUGUUGGUUAACAUUAGAAAUAUCUUUUUAAAUAGGUUAGUAAAUUGAGCUAAAUUUAGUGUAGAAUCAUGUUUAUGAUGUUUUGUCUUUGAUUAUAAAACAGUGCUUCUCAAUCCUUUACCAUCACAACAUAUGUUGGCAAUCAGACUCCAAGACUAUUUUUUUCUAAAUAUUCCAGUAGGACACAAUAUUUUUUAGAAAAAUAUGUAGCUCAGUUUUUUAUUUGCAGUGAAUGUUGUGUCCUUUAUUAUGUCAAUGGUUUAUUAUAAUUACAUAUGAACAUUUAAAAGUAUAUCGAAUAUUUUAAAAGUAAAAGAUUAUAUUUUUUAUAAUCAAAUCAGAAUUAUAUUGCAACCUAAUUUGGAUCUUAUCCCAUAGAUUAGGAACUGCAGGUGUUAACCAGUUUUUAUAAAGAUCUUUUCUGCUCAUGCUAGGAAAUCCAUUUGUAGAUUCUUUAUAUUCUGUUGAUGAUUGGGAAUGGCAUAAGUCACAAUAUAGAACCAGAAGAGAAUAUAGAUCUGUGAUAUUGGUCUCAGAGGCCCUGGUAAAGGUCAUAAGUACUACUCUCCUUCCUAUAACAAAGUCAUAUAACCUCAAUUGUCCAGGUUUCCUUUUAUUCUAUUCAGUGAUUAUAAAUAGAAAUGUGCUGCUCCCAGUGACUGCAUAAAAGAUGCAGUUUCAUUUCCGUUUGGCUAAGUUUUUACACAAAGCUUUCCAAUUGCUCUGACAUGAGAAACAAUUAAACCAGUUGUAUAUGUAAUAAUCAUGAGCUGCAGUGAGGUGGCACUAAAAAUAGUAGACAAAUGUUGUUAUCUAGUAAAGUUGAGAAUUAUCAGUCUCAAGUGUUGUUUCCAGGAGAAUAAACUGAGAUUGCAUGUGAUGAGAAUGGGUUGUUAUGAUUGGCCAGGUGAGUGGUUGGAACAAAGAGAAAGAUGAAUUAAUACAAAUGCUGUCAGGUCACUGGACAAAUGUAUGAAAUCUAUAAAAUAAUUAUUUCAAACAUGGUAUUGUAUUUUUUUAAAUGUUUGUUUGUUUUAUUGCUACAGUUAGACUACUUUCAGUUGGUUUGAGAAAAUUCUUUGAAAUUAAAACAGAAGCAGUAAUAUUUCUUGCAAUAAAAUUAAUGAUGGCUAUUGGCAUAUGAAACAUUCUUACAUAUCUCUGGAUAUUCAGUAGGUUAAAAUACUUCAAUGGCUAAAGUAUAAAACAAUCACCUAUAUGAAUACAAGCUCAAAUUGUCUGUGAAUAUUUUGCUGUAUCUCUGGGAAGAUUUCCUCUCCAUGCCUACCCCAUGUCUUAGUUGAUCUCUAGAUAUUAGGAGCAGGUAUUCCACUUUCAAAUUAUACCUACUCCUAAUAUUCAGGAUGAACUGUUUCAUCUGUUGUUUUGUGUUUGUUAUUCAAAGAUCUGAAAGUAAUAGUUAGACACAGCUGAGGAGGUCUUAUAAUACUAAAACAUGUCCAGAAUUGUCAUUAUUUUACUAAAGAGCAAAUUCGGUUUUACUUUUUAAUCAUUUAAAUUCCAGUGUUUUCUCCCCUUUUAUUUCCUUGCUUGACUUAUUCAUUAAAAUACUAUUUUUCGUCAUUGCACUUGUAAUGCAGUUUAAUUAAACUUUGUUGGUUAAUUACAUUAUGUUACUAUCCACUUUAACAUUCUAACAACAAUACACUGCAUGUUUAUCAAAUAUAUUUGAAAGUAUUUAAGAAUUAGAAAAUCUUCAGUGAAGUAAUUAUAAUUAUAUUUGAUUAAUUGUUUUAUUAAGCUUGUAUUAUUAUAAGUACUAGCAAAUCUACCCAUCUAUGAUGGAGGCAUAAAAUGAGAGAAGGAAGUCAUAACAGCAGUCUGUAAUAAGAAAUUUGUAAACAGACUUGAUAGAUUACUCAGUGAUGUCUGAGAGAAAUCACAUCAUUUUUGGUGAUGCAGCUAUUGCAGCUAUAUGACAUGUUUGUGACUAAGUGACAUAUAAUGACAAUUCACUCCCAGAUUGAAAUAGGUUCCCAGCCUCUGUACCAUGAAUCGUUAUGUAGACCACUCCUAACAAAAGCUAGAGCUUUCUUCUACCACUACAUAAGAAAAAAAUGUUAUAUAGAUAUACUUUUAUUUUAGUUGUUUACACUAUUUUAUGCUUGUUUAUACUCUUAUACAUUCAAAGUUCCCAAAUUUCCUUAUUUAAAUUAUGAAUCAUAUUCCUUUUGAUAAUAUCGACAUGAUUACAAAACUUCUUUCUAGAUAUUUUCUGUUUGGUUGACACUAAUUUUCAAAUUACUGGAGUCCAUUGCUCUACUCGUAGCGACAUAUAACUGGCCAUGUGUAAAAAUCAGAGUGGGUAAAAAUACACCUAUACAAUCUAAGGCCUGUGCCUUGUUUGCUGUGAAUGCAUAAGCAGAAUCUUUAGAGUUGAAAAAAAAUCAAACUAAGACUUACCUCUCAUUGUAUGUGAAUAAUGUCUGGAUGCUUUUGGUACCAGAGGUUAUUUUGAUUGAUAAAACUGAGAUGCUUUGCAGUGACAAUGAUUAAGUAUGCAAAUCAUUUCAGAUCUCACUGUACACAGUGCAAAUAAUGAUCUUUUAUCAGUUGGCAGAUAUAAGCACUGAUCAGCAAACAAUUUUAUUUGCUUAAAUUAUAAACAAUGUCAGUUUAUUUUGGCUUAAAGGUUCAGGUACUUCCAGCUGACAAGACACAAUAUAUCAAAGCACCAGCAUUGCAGAAUCCCUUGCACCAAUAACCUAUGUGUGUUAUGAACAAUGUUGUUGUAAAAAGAAAUUGGGGAGGAAAUAUGUGGAAGGGAGAGACUCAAGAAGACACGAGAUAAAGUAGUAAGCACUGACAAAGGACUGUGAUGAUUGGUGAUUUACUGUGCUAAAACUUGUCCAUCAUGGAAAAAAAUUAGAUCCUGAGAACGUUUUCUUUAUGCCUGUACAUGUUGCUUUCCUAACCCUGCACUCUUCCUAACACUCUUCCUUCUAUCACUUUUCUCAGCUGCUGUAAUCAGAAUUGAAAACAGAAUUGGCACAUAUUUUGUCCCAUCCUUUUUCUUGAGCUACCAAUUGUCUCCUUCUUCCCUGAAACUACUUCCUAUUAACAGCCAUCCCUCAUUCUCAUUAUCAUCCCUUCCUACACAAUUACCCCUUUUUAUGCUUUGAUUUAUUUCUCAUUCCCCUGAGAGCUACCAUACCUCAUCUUUAACACUAUUCAUAUUCACUAUCAUUUUCUCAUAUCUGCCGCCACCAAUGCAAAGCCAACCAUUGUUGUCCUGUUCACUACAUCCACCCUUAUGUACCUCUGACCCUCAUUUCUGUCAUUGUGUAUUACUUUGCUCAUAAAUCCUCCCAUUUUCUCAUAUAUCCUUCCUGAACUACUACCCCCAACUCUAACCAUCUGCUACCUUCCUCUGACAUACGAAAUUAACCCCCUCCCUUGGGCCGCUCUCUAUAUACUUUUUAUAUUUGCUUUCUUGUAUCUUGAGAUGCUCUGGCAGCUUGUCACCACCAUUUCUUUAUUCUUUCCAGCUGCACCCACUCACCCUUAUAUAAUGUGAGGUAGCCAUAAAUCCUCUCUACAACAUGACACCUGUACUUGUCCCUCCAUCACACAUUAGCCUCCCAACACAUGGCAUAAAGCCACCACUUUGUCUCUUGGAUACAUCCUACUCUCAGUCAAGGGGACUUUCCAUUUCCCUUGCAAAGUAACUCAGGAAUUACACUAGUGCUGAUGGCCUGAAAAAUAUAUAAAAGCAUCCAGCACAUACUCUGUAAAGUGGUUAGCAAUUGGAAAGGUAUUCAGCUAUAGAAAUCUUGCCAAAGCUGACAUUGACGCUCAACACAGUCCUGCAGUUCAGAGGUAUGUAGGAGUGAAUAUGGGGGAAGAGAGUGAUGAAAAUAGGAGGGGGUGGAGUUGAUUGCUGAUAUAAAAUUGUGUGCAGUAGUAGUACUGUUUGUUAUUGAGAAUAUGAGGUGGAUGACGUUGGGAAUUGGCUCCAAAGAGAGAUAACUAGUAACACAAAAGUGUUUGGGAUGAAAUAUGUGCAUCUCUGCUCCCAUAUCAUUAUAAUAAACAGCAGCUUAGGUAGGGCUGUAAUUAGAAGAGUGAUGGAGGAAUGGGUAUUAGGAAGAUGGGUUGUGGGGACAUAGUCAAAACAAUAGUCUUUUAGGACUUCAUUUUUUUUUUUGAGAUGGAUGAGACUUCUUGAGCAAAGUGAAUCAGCAACCAUCUCAGUUUUUUAUUCUGCUGAUGUUUUACAACCUGAGGUUGGUUUUCAUUACUUUGUCCAACAUCUUCAAGGGUCUCCUUCUUCCACAAGCUCCAUUGACUUUAAGUGAUUGUUACUUUUAAUUAUGCAUCUAUAUACAUCAUAUCACCAUACCAGUGCAGUCUUCUCUCUUGCACAUUACUUACAUGUGAUGCCUCUUAUACCCAAUUUUUCUUAUCAUCAGGGCUAUCGCAUGAUUUUUAGAUGCCCCCUGCAACUUUUUGGUUUGAGGCCCCAUCUCAUAAAUCAAAAUUCAUACUCUACACACCUUUAUUAUCGACAAAACCCAAGCGUAAUACCUUACAGCUUGUAUUUUAGAAUCAUCACAGCAGACUCUGCUAUAAUGAUUCUAAAAUACAACACAUAUAAAAAAAAACCCAAUGGUAUAUCUUUUUCCUACCCUUCUGUUCAUAGAUAGAUGCACACACAUACAUACACACACACAAACUACUGUGUGUGUGUGUGCGUGCGUGCGUGUGUGUGUUCACAUAUGCAUGACUUGUUUUUGUUACAGAAAGAAUUUUGUCUCCAGUUUUUAUUGCCUUAGGAGAUCAAAGCCACUUUCUGGGUACAAAGUGACCAGCUUUUCAAUGUCAAAUAACACAAAAAACAAAAUAUAUAUAUAUAUAUGGGGUGGGGAGAGAGAGAGAGAGAGAAAUGGAUAGAGAAAGAGGGAGAGACUAAGAGCCGUGUUUGAUACAUGUCUCUCUCUCACUCUCUCUGAGCUGGCCAAUGCCUUAUGAAUGGACUUGGUAGACCAAAAUAGAUAAUAGCCAGCCGCGCAUGUGUGUGUGUGUGUGUGUGCGUGUGCGUAUGUAUGAAUGUAUGCCUCUAUAUAUGUUUGUACGUAUGUAUAAGCAUACAACCCCCCACCUUUCAUCAUCAUCAUCAUCAUCGCUUCUUUUUGUCUUUUCUCUUGAAGUUGUUCUUAUUUUCAUUGUUUUGGAUUUCUUUUGUUUUUCUUUUAUUUCCCUGGUGGAAAAGCUUUUUACAUUUACUUAUUUUGUUUCUUUUUAAGUUAUUUACUGUACAACCUCGUAUUUUUUUUCCUCCUCUGACUUGAAAUUUUCUGUUAACAACUUAACCAAAGUAAAUAGAAGGCUCAUAUACGUAGUUUGAUCAUAACAUAGGGCCCCUCAAUUUCAGAGGCCCCCUGUAGCCACAAAGGUUGCAAGGGCUUAGCGAUGGCCCUACUUAUAAUAUAUUUGUACUUUGUUGUGCAUGCACGCUUAUGUUACACAUCCAGCAGAUCAUGCUAGCUUCAUUUCUUUCUAGUGUUCACAUGUCUUCUGUAUUCAUGGCUCAUAUUUCAAAACCAUGAACUAUUGUUGUUCAUAAACACACAUCAUGCAGUCUGCCUUUCACUCUGAAGAAAAAGGCUUUUUAUUAACAACAGAAGAAAUAAUUCUCUAAACUUCCUUUUCUAUUGGGUCAUCCUAAAAAUAAUCUGGUUUUUUCAAUAGCAUGAACUAAAAGUCAGACGGGGAUGGGAUAAACUACAUGUAUCAACUUGCUAUACAAGCAGGUAGUAAUUUUACUUUGUACUUAUUCUUAAUGCAAGUUUUGAAGAGUGCAGUUCGAUUUUGACAGUUAUUUUUUCAAAGCUAUAAUGAAAGUGACAAAGAAGCAUAUUCAGCAUAUUUUGCUUUAUGAGUUUAAUAAAAGCAACAACUCAAUGGAAAGUAUGAGGAAUAUUAAUGCAGUAUAUGGGGAUUGGAUAAUAAAUGUAAACUAGUGUCAGCAGUGAUUCCAGAAAUUCUGAGCCAGAAACUACAGCCUAGAAGACGAGCCACCUCUUGGAAGAUCUGUAGAACUCAACGAGGACGUCCUGCAAAUCCUGGUGGAACAAAAUCCCAUCGUAUGUGUUGAAGAGCCAGCAGAAAAGCUUGGAUUUGGUCAUUCAACCAUUCAUUGACACCUGCAUCCAUCAAAAGAGUCAGCAAAUUGGGUUUCACAAACUCUCCGAAUCUAAUCAGGCACAGUGAGUGAAUGUGUACUCUUCUUUGCUGUCACAUCUCACGAGUGAACCUUGUUCGGAUAGAAUAGUGACUGGUGAUGAGAAACGGUUUCUCUAUAAAAGUGUCAAAUACCAAAGACAGUAGUAGGCUAAAGAAGGUGUUGUUAUCUUUUGGUGGAAUAUAAAAGGUUUAAUCAACUUUGAACUUUUAAACUCAAACCAAACAAUAACAAAGGAGAUCUACUGUGAGCAGCUUGAGUGGCUUAAGUCGGUGCUAGAUGUAAAAUGACCAUCUUUGGUUUCAAGACGAAAAAUGUUCUCUAUCAGGAUAAUGCUCAGCCGCAUACAGUGAGGAUGACAUUCCAAAGGCACAUAUACUUGUACAUAAGUAUACAUACACUCAUAUAGACACACAAACAUGGACAUGUGUGUGUACAUGUGUCUGUAUAUGUGCAGCUGUGUGCAUAUAUUUAUACAUGUGCUUAUAUAUAUAUAUGUAUGUGUCAAUGCAGAAUUGUUCAUGUGUCUACAUAGGUAUGUAGGUAUAAAUGUGUGUAUGUAUUUUUGUCUAUAUGUGUGUAUAUAUGUAUGUGCACAUAUAUAAUAAACAUUUUUAAAUUUUCAUUUGCGUUUAUUUUAUCUAUUAUUCCAUCGCUUUUCUCAUUCUCUUUUUUUGUAAGUCCAUUAGAUUUCCAGCAAUGAGUUAAACAUUUGUUUACUCCAAUCAUAGCCCCCAUACCUACCAACACUAACACAUUCUCCAAAUACAGACUUACAGAUUGUGCUCUUCAAGUUUUUUUAUUGUAUCUGUCAAAAAUUAAAUUUUUAUAUAUGUAUUUAUUUAUUUAUUUAUUUAAUUAUUUAUUUAUUUAUCAUUUCUAGGCUACCAGACUGAUGAUUCUCCAAGUAAUAGCUCCUGUGAAAGGUUAGUUAUACACA